UUUGUUUACAAUCCAUUUCCCGCAUCCCAAUAUUGCUUACAAUAUAUUUCUAACUAAUUAAUAAGUUGUCAUUCAUUGUUUGUUCUACAGUUAUACAUAGAAUCAUGCCUCCAAGUCAAAAAGUGGGUAGGAGAUUUGGUAUGCCUUCACCAGCACAAUCAAGCCCAAGUGUGACUGUUGAACCUUCUCUUUCCGAGGAUGUUCUACCGCAUAAUUCUGAUGCUUUGGGUGAUAAUACUUCUUUGGAGCAGUCUAGAGGUGUAGGCAGGCCAUUAUCCAACCGCGUGCGUGGUAAGACUCUUGGGAAAGGAGUUGAUAAAUUGGUUGCUCAGAAUGGUGGGAAUAAGCUUCCUGUAUCGGUGCUAGAAAAGUGGAACACUUUAUGUGGUGUUAAUGCCCCCAAUGCAUCCAUGCUAUUGGGUGUGUAUAUUAGAAGGAUGGCUCCAAUUAAGAAUACGCUGACGUGGUGGGGAUAUUUCUGAGGCUAUUCAAUCCGCUAUCAUACAAGUUGUUCUUGACAAGAUCAAAAUCUCAGAUGAUUAUCAUAACAACCAAGUAGCUCAGAAAGCUGUGCAUGCAA